rnacentral:rRNA from 1 species
AGUGAACGCUGGCGGUAGGCCUAACACAUGCAAGUCGAACGGCAGCACAGUAAGAGCUUGCUCUUACGGGUGGCGAGUGGCGGACGGGUGAGGAAUACAUCGGAAUCUACUUUUUCGUGGGGGAUAACGUAGGGAAACUUACGCUAAUACCGCAUACGACCUACGGGUGAAAGCAGGGGAUCUUCGGACCUUGCGCGAUUGAAUGAGCCGAUGUCGGAUUAGCUAGUUGGCGGGGUAAAGGCCCACCAAGGCGACGAUCCGUAGCUGGUCUGAGAGGAUGAUCGGCCACACUGGAACGGAGACACGGUCCAGACUACUACGGGAGGCAGCAGUGGGGAAUGUUGGACAAUGGGCGCGAGCAUGAUCCAGCCAUACCGCGUGGGUGAAGAAGGCCUUGGGGUUGUAAAGCCCUUUUGUUGGGAAAGAAAAGCAGCAGGUUAAUACCCCGCUGUUCUGACGGUACCCAAAGAAUAAGCACCGGCUAACUUCGUG